GUAGGAACCAUUUCUGACACCUAUACAUUGUUGUGCCAUUGUUGAUUAGGAUAUACAAACAAUGGUUUGAUAGUUCGCUGCAUCCUCCCUCAGGUGCACGUGCUGAAGAGAUGCAGCAACAACUAGUUGGUGCCAUUGGUGGUCAACACACAUCUUCUCCUGCUGCAGUAUGGUUGUCAUAUGCUUAUUGAGCACGCUGAUAUGUUCGUCUUGUCUCGUCAAGCCUACCUGGGUGUUUUUUCCCGUACUCCUGUUUUCUUUAGUCCCUAUUAUCUAGUUCUUCUGGUUUUGACCAUACUGCCUGCCCUGACCCUGAGCCUGCCUGCCGUUCUGAACCUUCUGACACUGCCCUGGAUUACUGACUGCUCCAUGCCCUGGCCCUGAACCUUCCUGCCAUUCUGUAUUUUACGGACUCUGCUCUGGAUUACUGACCUCUGCCAUCCCUUGACCUGUCGUUUUCCUGCCCCUGUUUCGUAAAUAAACCUC
ensembl:lncRNA